rnacentral:rRNA from 1 species
GACGAACGCUGGCGGCGUGCUUAACACAUGCAAGUCGAACGGUGAAGCGCCUUCCUUUUUGGUGGGUGUGGAUGAGUGGCGAACGGGUGAGUAACACGUGAGUAACCUGCCCCCUUCUUCUGGAUAACCGCAUGAAAGUGUGGCUAAUACGGGAUAUUCUGGGUCUGUCGCAUGAUGGGUCUGGGAAAGAUAUUGUUUCGGUGGGGGAUGGGCUCGCGGCCUAUCAGCUUGUUGGUGGGGUGAUGGCCUACCAAGGCGGUGACGGGUAGCCGGCCUGAGAGGGUGGACGGUCACACAGGGACUGAGACACGGCCAAGACUCCGACGGGAGGCAGCAGGGGGGAAUAUUGCACAAUGGGCGCAAGCCUGAUGCAGCGACGCCGCGUGAGGGAUGGAGGCCUGCGGGUUGUGAACCUCUUUCGCCAGUGAAGCAGGCCUGCCUCGUUUGUGGGUGGGUUGACGGUAGCUGGAGAAGAAGCGCCGGCUAACUACGUG